GACAGAGGGUGCAAACGUUGUUCGGAAUUACUGGGCGUAAAGCGCGUGUAGGCGGCUCUGUAAGUCGGGUGUGAAAUCCCACGGCUCAACCGUGGAAGUGCACUCGAAACUACAGGGCUAGAGUCCUGGAGAGGAAGGUGGAAUGCUUGGUGUAGAGGUGAAAUUCGUAGAUAUCAAGCGGAACACCGGUGACGAAGGCGGCCUUCUGGACAGUGACUGACGCUGAGACGCGAAAGCGUGGGGAGCAAACAGG
rnacentral:rRNA from 1 species